rnacentral:sRNA from 1 species
CAACAGCAGAAAGGAGGUGAUCCAGUGUCUCAUUGUCUUACGCCGCGUGCUUCGGCUGCACUGACCUGGAUUCGUGCCUCUGCAGGAAUCCGCGCUGCCUGAUCUCGCAGGCAUCGCACCGGUCUUGGAGCCCGCUCCGCGGACCGACAAUGGAAGGGUCGUCGCUUGCGGCGGCCCU